rnacentral:rRNA from 1 species
CUUAUUUUAUGUUGGUGUAUAUCUGGUUUAAUAUUAUUGCUUUAGUAGCUUAAUUUGUGUAUAUUUAACUAUUUAAGCCAAGUCUAUGUGCUGCUUAUUUAAGUUUUCAUGCGUUACUUUAAUAAAGUUAAAUAUGUAAAGGUUUGAUAUUAAGGACUUGAUAGUAAUGUAAAAUUAAUUUGUUUAUGUGAAGUUGGUUUAGCUUGGGUACACACCGCCCGUCAA